rnacentral:rRNA from 1 species
CAGUAGCCGCGGGAAUACGAAGGGGGCUAGCGUUGUUCGGAUUUACUGGGCGUAAAGCGCACGUAGGCGGAUCGAUCAGUCAGGGGUGAAAUCCCAGAGCUCAACUCUGGAACUGCCUUUGAUACUGUCGAUCUGGAGUAUGGAAGAGGUUGGUGGAACAGCUAGUGUAGAGGUGAAAUUCGUAGAUAUUAGCUAGAACACCAGUGGCGAAGGCGGCCAACUGGUCCGAUACUGACGCUGAGGUGCGAAAGCGUGGGGAGCAAACAGGAUUAGAUACCCGCGUAGUCCCUGUCUCUUAUAC